CGUGAGAUGUUGGGUUAAGUCCCGCAACGAGCGCAACCCUUGUCAUUAGUUGCUACAUUCAGUUGGGCACUCUAAUGAGACUGCCGGUGACAAACCGGAGGAAGGUGGGGAUGACGUCAAGUCCUCAUGGCCCUUAUAGGUGGGGCUACACACGUCAUACAAUGGCUGGUACAAAGGGUUGCCAACCCGCGAGGGGGAGCUAAUCCCAUAAAACCAGUCGUAGUCCGGAUCGCAGUCUGCAACUCGACUGCGUGAAGUCGGAAUCGCUAGUAAUCGUGGAUCAGAAUGUCACGGUGAAUACGUUCCCGGGUCUUGUACACACCGA
rnacentral:rRNA from 1 species